AAAAACCCAGGUGGUGUGAGAUGGAUCCGCGUCUGAUUAGCCAGUUGGCGGGGUAACGGCCCACCAAAGCGACGAUCAGUAGCCGACCUGAGAGGGUGACCGGCCACAUUGGGACUGAGACACGGCCCAAACUCCUACGGGAGGCAGCAGUGGGGAAUAUUGCACAAUGGGCGCAAGCCUGAUGCAGCGACGCCGCGUGAGUGAAGAAGUAUCUCGGUAUGUAAAGCUCUAUCAGCAGGGAAGAAAAUGACGGUACCUGACUAAGAAGCCCCGGCUAACUACGUGCCAGCAGCCGCGGUAAUACGUAGGGGGCAAGCGUUAUCCGGAUUUACUGGGUGUAAAGGGAGCGUAGACGGCGACGCAAGUCUGGAGUGAAAGCCCGGGGCCCAACCCCGGGACUGCUUUGGAAACUGUGUUGCUGGAGUGCAGGAGAGGUAAGUGGAAUUCCUAGUGUAGCGGUGAAAUGCGUAGAUAUUAGGAGGAACACCAGUGGCGAAGGCGGCUUACUGGACUGUAACUGACGUUGAGGCUCGAAAGCGUGGGGAGCAAACAGGAUUAGAUACCCUGGUAGU
rnacentral:rRNA from 1 species